AAACUAUGGUGAGGGCACCUUCUCAGAUGUUCUUCAAAUUGUUCCCAUAUUUUUAAUAGGAUUUCGACUUAUACUAUUGAAAACUGGAAAUUUCUGUCAUAAGCUU